AUUGAACGCUGGCGGCAGGCCUAACACAUGCAAGUCGAGCGGUAGAGAGGUGCUUGCAUCUCUUGAGAGCGGCGGACGGGUGAGUAAUGCCUAGGAAUCUGCCUAGUGGUGGGGGAUAACGUUCGGAAACGGACGCUAAUACCGCAUACGUCCUACGGGNGAAAGCGGGGGGAUCUUCGGACCUCGCGCCAUUAGAUGAGCCUAGGUCGGAUUAGCUAGUUGGUGAGGUAAUGGCUCACCAAGGCGACGAUCCGUAACUGGUCUGAGAGGAUGAUCAGUCACACUGGAACUGAGACACGGUCCAGACUCCUACGGGAGGCAGCAGUGGGAAUAUUGGACAAUGGCGAAAGCCUGAUCCAGCCAUGCCGCGUGUGU
rnacentral:rRNA from 1 species